rnacentral:rRNA from 1 species
UACGUAGGGUGCGAGCGUUGUCCGGAAUUACUGGGCGUAAAGAGCUCGUAGGUGGUUUGUCGCGUUGUUCGUGAAAACUCACAGCUCAACUGUGGGCGUGCGGGCGAUACGGGCAGACUGGAGUACUGCAGGGGAGACUGGAAUUCCUGGUGUAGCGGUGGAAUGCGCAGAUAUCAGGAGGAACACCGGUGGCGAAGGCGGGUCUCUGGGCAGUAACUGACGCUGAGGAGCGAAAGCGUGGGGAGCGAAAGGG